rnacentral:lncRNA from 1 species
ACAAAUUUUAAUUUAGUACUUACGCUGUCUGUUUUCGCAACUGGCGGCAUGGUAUGACGUCAUGCGCGCGCACGCGAGGGCAGUCAGAUCCCGGCAGGGAGUCACCUGUUAACCGGUCACGACACACGGGUCCGAGUAGAGAGUAGAUGACAGAAGUUUCUCGAACUUUCUUGCCCGUCCUCCGUCGCUUUCUGGGACCCGCGCGAUGUUUUUCCUCGAUGAUAAUAAUAACACGUCGCUAGAUUGAUUUGCUGUAUAAAAACUCAAAAGUAUAUUGUAAAACAAAACCAUAUUGAAAAAAAAAAAUAAUUUCAGAGAUGUUUUACAGUAGUCUGAAACACAACAUCCGGUCUGAUCACCUGGCUACAGGUAACGUGACGUCAGUGCUUUAGCCACGCCCUACAGUUUUCAUUUGAGCGGAGUUAGCGGAGUGUCACGCUUCUGUGCAGUAAUCCGCUCAUAACAGCGUCGAAGAUGAGCCACGCUCUGCUAGUUAUUUUCUCUCUCAUCAUCGCCAGUGCUGCUGAGUUUCGCCGAUGCUCUCCCCGAUGGCUUAACGCCAGUCAAGUUAAAGUCAGCUGUAGCGACGUCCAGAUUGCACAGUACUGUGAUCCUGAUCAGAGCUGUCGACACACGAGCAAGCCCGGGGUCUCGCUGGAGAAGCACAGGGAAAGAGGACUCUGCCUAACCAUCACCAACUGCUCCUACGAGUCGUGGUCCUGCGAAGCACUGAGUUACAUCCAUGCCGAAGAAUUUGGGGAGACUUUUACUGUCCACGUGACGUGCAACCAACCUACUAGCACGUUGCCCAGUCCAGGACCUACAAGCACUUCAGCAACUUCAGGAUCUGCCAGCACUUUGCCCAGUCCAGGCAAUAAUGAGUCACAGUCAGAGUCUCUUUCAGCUGGGGUCAUUGUGCUGAUCAUCUUUGGGCUGAUCAUCUUUGUGCUUUGCAUCUGUUACAAGAAGAGGACUCCUAGAGAAGAGCAUUUGGUGAUUUGGAAGGCGGGAAGAAAAUCAUGGUGUAAAGUAUGUCAGACAUUUACAUUGUAUUGUGAUA